AGCGGCGAACGGGUGAGAAAGGGUUUGGAAUCUUCCCAGUAGUGGGGAAUAACCAGCCGAAAGAUUGGCUAAUACCGCAUACGUCUGUAAAGGGAAAGCGGGGGCUCGUAAGACCUCGCGCUAUUGGAUGAGCCAAAGUCGGAUCAGCUAGUUGGUGGGGUAAUGGCCCACCAAGGCGACAAUCCGUAGCUGGUCUGAGAGGACGACCAGCCACACCGGAACUGAGACACGGUCCGGACUCCUACGGGAGGCAGCAGUGGGGAAUAUUGGACAAUGGGGGAAACCCUGAUCCAGCGACGCCGCGUGUGUGAAGAAGGCCUGCGGGUUGUAAAGCACUUUUAGUGGGGACAAAAAGCUACGGACUAAUACUCUGUGGUCUUGAUUUAACCCAAAGAAAAAGCACCGGCUAACUCUGUGCCAGCAUCCGCGGUAAUACAGAGGGUGCGAGCGUUAAUCGGAAUUACUGGGCGUAAAGCGCGCGUAGACGGUUUUGUAAGUCAAAUGUGAAAUCCCUGGGCUCAACCUGGGAACUGCAUUUGA
rnacentral:rRNA from 1 species